AUUCUCUUAGUAUAAACAGUACAAUUGACUUCCAAUUAAUAAGCCUUGAUAAACCCAAGAGAGAAUA
rnacentral:tRNA from 1 species